AAAUGAUAGAGUGAAACUAGAGCCUCACAUGUGAGUUUGGAGUCGAGAACUUAAUGAAAUGAUUAUAUUUGAAUUUGACCCAAAAAGUUCUUAAAAAUGUGCUUCGGAAGUUACCGGAAACUUGUUUAGCUGUAUAUAAAAAGAUCUGUUUCGUUUUUCUAAAAUCCGACUUCAUAUUCUUGUUUAGGGGGUCAAAUUGAGUGGGAAAUGGGUCUAACCCAAAUUUUAGAGCAACCGUAUCAAAAUCCGAAAUUUCCAAGUGAAGCCUUUUUCGAGGGUCUACUUUGGAGGAUCAUAUCUCCUAGCACACAAAUUAUUUGGG
rnacentral:lncRNA from 1 species